rnacentral:rRNA from 1 species
GUCUUUUUAAGUCUAAUKUGAAARCCUUCGGCUCAACCGAAGAAGUGCAUUGGAAACUGGGAGACUUGAGUGCAGAAGAGGACAGUGGAACUCCAUGUGUAGCGGUGAAAUGCGUAGAUAUAUGGAAGAACACCAGUGGCGAAGGCGGCUGUCUGGUCUGUAACUGACGCUGAGGCUCGAAAGCAUGGGUAGCGAACAGGAUUAGAUACCCUGGUAGUCCAUGCCGUAAACGAUGAUUACUAAGUGUUGGAGGGUUUCCGCCCUUCAGUGCUGCMGCUAACGCAUUAAGUAAUCCGCCUGGGGAGUACGACCGCAAGGUUGAAACUCAAAAGAAUUGACGGGGGCCCGCACAAGCGGUGGAGCAUGUGGUUUAAUUCGAAGCUACGCGAAGAACCUUACCAGGUCUUGACAUCUUCUGCCAACCUAAGAGAUUAGGCGUUCCCUUCGGGGACAGAAUGACAGGUGGUGCAUGGUUGUCGUCAGCUCGUGUCGUGAGAUGUUGGGUUAAGUCCCGCAACGAGCGCAACCCUUAUUACUAGUUGCCAGCAUUCAGUUGGGCACUCUAGUGAGACUGCCGGUGACAAACCGGAGGAAGGUGGGGACGACGUCAAAUCAUCAUGCCCCUUAUGACCUGGGCUACACACGUGCUACAAUGGAUGGUACAACGAGUUGCGAAACCGCGAGGUUUAGCUAAUCUCUUAAAACCAUUCUCAGUUCGGACUGUAGGCUGCAACUCGCCUACACGAAGUCGGAAUCGCUAGUAAUCGCGGAUCAGCAUGCCGCGGUGAAUACGUUCCCGGGCCUUGUACACACCGCCCGUCACACCAUGAGAGUUUGUAACACCCWAANCG